rnacentral:snRNA from 1 species
AUACUCUGGUUUCUCUUCAGAUCAUAUAAAUCUUUCCCCUUUUACUAAAGAUUUCUGUGAAGAAAAAUCUCAUCUUUUCUGAGAUUUAGUCUCAUCUUUUAAUACAGAACUUGAUAAGCUUUU